rnacentral:lncRNA from 1 species
AACUGCUCUAUGAAAAGAAAGGUUAAACUCUGUGAGUUGAACGCACACAUCACAAAGUAGUUUCUGAGAAUGAUACUGUCUAGUUUUUAUACGGAGAUAUUUCCUUUCCUUCCAUUGGCGUCAAAGCGCUAGAAUUCUCCACUUGCAAAUUCCACAAAAAGAGUGUUUCCAAUCUGCUCUGUCUAAAGGAAGGUUCAACUCUGUGAGUUGAAUACACACACACAAAGAAGCUACUGAGAAUUCUUUUGUCAAGAAUUAUAAGAAGAAAUCCCGUUUCCAACGAAGGCCUCAAAGAGUUCCAAAUAUCCACUUGCACACUGUACAAACUAAGUCUUUCCAAACUGCUCUAUGCAAAGAAAUGUUCAACUCUGUGAGUUUAAUGCACACAUCACAAAGCAGUUUCUGAGAAUGAUUCCGUCUAGUUUUUAUACGAACAUAGCCUUUUCUACCAUUGGCCUCAAGGCUCUUGAAAUCUCCACCUGAAAAUUCCGCAAAAAGCGUGUUUCCAAUCCGCUCUGUCUAAAGGAAGUUUCAAAUCUCUGAGUUGAAUACAUACAUCCCAAAAGAAGUUACUGCGAAUUCUUCUGUCUAGCAUUAUGUGAAGAAAUCCCGUUUCCAACGAAAGCCUCCAAGAGGUCCAAAUAUCCAGUUGCAGAAUUUACAAACUGACUGUUUCCAAACUCAUCUAUGAAAAGAAAGGUUAAACUCUGUGAGUUGAAUGCACAUAUCACAAAGUAGUUCCUGAGAAUGAUUCUGUCUAGUUUUUAUACGAAGAUAUUUCCUUUUCCACCAAUGGCCUCAAAGUGCUUGAAAUCUCCCCUUGCAAAUUCCACAGAAAAGUGUUUCAAAUCUGCACUGUCUAAAGGAAGGUUCAACCCUGUGAGUUGAAUACACACACACAGAAAAAAAUUCACUGAGAAUUCUAUUGUCUAUCAUUACACGAAGAAAUCCCGUUUACUACGAAGGCCUCAAAGAGGUCCAAAUAUCCAGCUGCAGACAUUACAAACUGAGUGUUUCCAAAGUGCUCUAUGAAAAGAAGUGUUAAACACUGUGAGUUCAAUGCACACAUCCCAAAGCAGUUUCUGAGAAUGAUUCCGUCUAUUUUUUCUACGAAGAUAUUUCCUUUUCUACCGUUGGCCUCAAAGCGCCUGAAAUCUCCACUUGCAAAUUCCACGAAAAGAGAGUUUCAAAUCUGCUCUGUCUAAAGGAAGGUUCCACUCUGUGAGUUGAAUACACACCACAAAAAGAAGUUACUGAGAAUUCUUCUGUCUAGCAUUAUAUGAAAAAUCCCGUUUCCAACGAAGGCCACAAAGAGGUCCAAAUAUCCACUUGCAGAUUCUGCAAAAAGAGUGUUUCCAAACUGCUCUAUGAAAAGAAACGUUAAACUCUGUGAGUUGAACGCAAACAUCACAAAGUAGUUUCUGAGAAUGACUCCGUCUAGUUUUUAUACGAAGAUAUUUCCUUUUCUACCGUUGGCCUCAAAGCGCUUGAAGUCUCCCCCUGAAAAUUCCACAAAAAGUGUUUCCAAUCUGCUCCGCCUAAAGGAAGCUUCAACUCUGUGAGUUGAAUACCCACAACACAAAGAAGUUACUGAGAAUUCUUCUGUCUCGCAUUAUAGGAAGAAAUCCCGUUUCCAACGAAGGCCUCAAAUACAUCCACAUAUCCAGUUGCUGACUUUACAAACUGAGUGUUUCCAAACUGCUCUAUGAAAAGAAAGGUUAAACACUGUGAGUUGAACACACACGUACCAAAGUAGUUUCUGAGAAUGAUUCUGUCUAGUUUGCAUACAAAGAUAUUUCCUUUUCUACCACUGGCCUCAAAGCUUUGAAAUCUCCACUUGCAAAUUCCACAAAAGAGAGUUCAAAUCUGCUGUUUCUAAAGGAAAGUUCAACUCUGAGAGUUGAAUACACACCAGAAAAAGCAGUUACUGAGAAGUCUUCUGUCUAGCAUUAUAUGAAGAAAUCCCAUUUCCAAAGAAGACUUCAAACAGGUCCAAAUAUCCACUUGCAGAUUCUGCAAAAAGAGUGUUUUGAAACAACUGUAUGAAAAGAAAGGUUAAACACUGUGAGUUGAACGCACCCAUUGCAAAGCAUUUUCUGAGAAUGAUUCCGUCUAAUUAUUAUAUGAAGGUAUUUCCUUUUCUAUCAUGGGCCUCAAAGCGCUUGAUACCUCCACCUGAAAAUUCCACAAAAAGAGUGUUUCCAAUCUACUCUGUCUAAAGGAACGUUCAACUCUGUGAGUUGAAUACACACACACAGAAAGAAUUCACUGAGAAUUCUUCUGUCUGGCAUUACAUGAAGAAAUCCCGUUUCCAACGAAGGCCUCAAAGAGGUCCAAAUAUCCACUUGCAGAUUCUGCAAAAAGAGUGUUUCAAAACCGCUCUAUUAAAAGGAAUGUUGAACUCUGUGAGUUGAAUGCAAACAUCACAACUCAGUUUCUGAGAAUGCUUCUGACUAGAUUUUAUGGUAAGAUAUUUCCUUUUCUACCGUAGGCUUCAAUGCCCUCUAAAUACACCCUUGCAAAUUCUACAAAGAGACUGUUUAAUAACUGCUCUAUAGGAAGAAAGGUUGAACUCUGUGAGUUGAAUGCAGAGAUCACAACGUGGUUUCUGCGAAUGAUUCUUUGUAGUUUUUACAUGAAGAUAUUUCGUUGUCUACCGUAGGCUUCAAAGCACUCAAAGUAUUCACUUGGAACUUUUACAAAAAGAGUGUUAGAAAACUGCUCUUUCCAAAGUAAGGUUCAACUCUGUGAGUUGAAUGCACACAUAACAAACAAGAAGUUUCUGAGAAUCCUUCUGUCCUGGUUUAUAUGAAAAAAUCCCGUUUCCAACGAAGGCCUCAAAGACGUUUAAAUAUCCACUUGCAGACUUCACAAACAGAGUGUUUCCAAACUGCUCUAUGAAAAGAAAGGUUAAACUCUGUGAGUUGAACGCACACAUCACAAAGUAGUUUCUGAGAAUGAUACUGUCUAGUUUUUAUACGGAGAUAUUUCCUUUCCUUCCAUUGGCGUCAAAGCGCUAGAAUUCUCCACUUGCAAAUUCCACAAAAAGAGUGUUUCCAAUCUGCUCUGUCUAAAGGAAGGUUCAACUCUGUGAGUUGAAUACACACACACAAAGAAGCUACUGAGAAUUCUUUUGUCAAGAAUUAUAAGAAGAAAUCCCGUUUCCAACGAAGGCCUCAAAGAGUUCCAAAUAUCCACUUGCACACUGUACAAACUAAGUCUUUCCAAACUGCUCUAUGCAAAGAAAUGUUCAACUCUGUGAGUUUAAUGCACACAUCACAAAGCAGUUUC